CUACGUGCCAGCAGCCGCGGUAAUACGGAGGAUGCGAGCGUUAUCCGGAUUUAUUGGGUUUAAAGGGUGCGUAGGCGGCCUGUUAAGUCAGCGGUGAAAUCUAGGAGCUUAACUCCUAAAUUGCCAUUGAUACUGGCGGGCUUGAGUGUAGAUGAGGUAGGCGGAAUGCGUGGUGUAGCGGUGGAAUGCAUAGAUAUCACGCAGAACUCCGAUUGCGAAGGCAGCUUACUAAGGUACAACUGACGCUGAAGCACGAAAGCGUGGGUAUCAAACAGGAUUAGAUACCCUGGUAGUCCACGCAGUAAACGAUGAUAACUGGGCGUAUGCGAUAUACAGUAUGCUCCUAAGCGAAAGCGUUAAGUUAUCCACCUGGGGAGUACGCCGGCAACGGUGAAACUCAAAGGGAUUGACGGGGGCCCGCACAAGCGGAGGAACAUGUGGUUUAAUUCGAUGAUACGCGAGGAACCUUACCCGGGAU
rnacentral:rRNA from 1 species